ACUCCUACGGGAGGCAGCAGUAAGGAAUAUUGGACAAUGGGCGGAAGCCUGAUCCAGCCAUCCCGCGUGCAGGAAGACGGUCCUAUGGAUUGUAAACUGCUUUUAUCAGAGACGAAAAGCUUUGAUUUAUCAAAGAAUCGACGGUAUCUGAUGAAUAAGCACCGGCUAACUCCGUGCCAGCAGCCGCGGUAAUACGGAGGGUGCAAGCGUUAUCCGGAAUUACUGGGUUUAAAGGGUCCGCAGGCGGGCUGAUAAGUCAGUGGUGAAAUCCUACGGCUCAACCGUAGAACUGCCAUUGAUACUGUUGGUCUUGAGUAAGGUGGAAGUUGGCGGAAUACAGCAUGUAGCGGUGAAAUGCGUAGAUAUGCUGUAGAACACCGAUUGCGAAAGGCAGCUGACUAUACCUUUACUGACGCUGAGGGACGAAAAGCGUGGGGAGCGAACAGGAUUAGAUACCCUGGUAGGAUAGCGU
rnacentral:rRNA from 1 species